GGACCGGGCAAUCGCCCGGUUCCCACCUCCGGUACCUGACACGGCCGGACCUA
rnacentral:ncRNA from 1 species